GGGCGGUGGGGUAGCCUAGUGGGUAAAGCAUUAGCUCAUCACUGCAAAACCCCUGUUCAAUUCCCCACAUGGGUACAAUGUGUGAAGCCCAUUUCUGGUGUCCCCUGCCGUGAUAUUGC